GCGAGUAUGGGCAGAAAGAUGGUGAUGGUGGCUGGAUUACUAGCGACUUCAGUGAUGGAUGUAACAAUCAGACAGGCAAUAGUGACAAUGGCCAAUACUGGGAGAUUGCCCAGUGGACUCAUUAAUUCUGCAACCCAGGAGGAUAAACCAGAUACCUGUAGGUUGAAUGGCAGAACAGCACACUUACUCAGGAAACAGAGAUGCCCAGCCUGGCAUGAAGCCAGGAUCUCGCAUGAACCACAGCACUGCCAUCAGCACAAAAAUAACAAGGGUGAUCAUCUCCUGUCGGCUGGUGGGAGAAAAUAAAUGAGAAUCGCCUCCUCUGGAACGCCGCAUACAAUUGAAACUGGAAAAACAGCAAGGAAUACUCAGUUAGGCAGGAUAUAAAAUUUGCUAGUAAUGUCUAGGGUCACUUAUUGCAGAUAUUUAGUUUGCCAGCUAUAUGUAUAAUUAAAGAGAAUCUUACUGGAAUCUUAAAGGAAUUGUGUUGCAUUGGAGGAGAUAAAACGUAGAAAAAUAGUGUAAAAGAAUGAGAACUA